UUUUAGCCCCGAUCGUAGUGGAAAUCCUUUGUUGCCGGGGUUCGGCAGCAAAGAUUGUAAUGGAGAGCGGGAACCCUC
rfam:Flavobacterium succinicans strain DD5b FLB_contig000017, whole genome shotgun sequence.